rnacentral:lncRNA from 1 species
GUACAUUCUGGCUGAUGCAGGUUCUCUCUAUUUGGAACAGAGAGAAAAAGAAUGAAUGCCAGAGAUGCUGAGUGCCAUGCAAUGGACAGUGGGAAAUUCUUUUAUGAUCUCUGUGGGCGAUCGGUUUCUUCCCUGACACAUGACAGUGAUUAAACAAAAUGCUGUAGAAAUAAGAUGAAAGUGUGGAGGUGGUAUGGGAAGGGCACAGGUAUUUUUUUAGCCCAGAGCAGAGGGAAUUUUAGCAAAUAUACCUGUGCUGCAGUGAAGAAAAUGAAUUCAGUGGUGAGGACAUUGAACAUGAACAAAACAUGAUCAAGAAUAUAAAACUUUAUUAAUCAUUUUUAUGUUUGUUUUCUGGUCUAGGUCAGCCACAGAUGAAGACUUGAGAUAUCUGUUACAUAAUGGAUGCAAUCAAAGAAAUGACAGUGCCAGCAUUGCAGAUAGCCCACCAGUUUUCCUGGUUUCUAACUGGAAGAUGUAUGUGCAUCUGUAUGUAUAUGUGUUGAUUAUUUUCCUUCAUCACUGAGUCCUAAACUUUUUAUUACUGUUGUCAGCAUGAAUGCCAAACACUGGUUGUGAUAAUGCUGCUUCUAAAGAAUAAAUAGAGUUAGCACA